rnacentral:rRNA from 1 species
CAGCAGCCACGGUAAUACGGAGGGUGCAAGCGUUAAUCGGAAUUACUGGGCGUAAAGCGCACGCAGGCGGUCUGACAAGUCAGAUGUGAAAUCCCCGGGCUUAACCUGGGAACUGCAUUUGAAACUGUCAGGCUGGAGUCUUGUAGAGGGGGGUGGAAUUCCAGGUGUAGCGGUGAAAUGCGUAGAGAUCUGGAGGAAUACCGGUGGCGAAGGCGGCCCCCUGGACAAAGACUGACGCUCAGGUGCGAAAGCGUGGGGAGCAAACAGGAUUAGAGACCCGCGUAGUCCCUGUCUCUUAUAC